UACGGAGGGGGCAAGCGUUGUUAGGAAUCAUUGGGCGUAAAGCGCGUGUAGGCGGCCAGGUAAGUCUGAUGUGAAAGCCCGGGGCUCAACCCCGGAAGUGCAUUGGAUACUGUCUGGCUAGAGGUCGAGAGAGGAAAGUGGAAUUCCCGGUGUAGGGGUGAAAUCCGUAGAUCUCAGGAGGAACAUCAGUGGCGAAGGCGACUUUCUGGCUUGUUACUGACGCUGAGACGCGAAAGCGUGGGGAGCAAACAGG
rnacentral:rRNA from 1 species